GAAUUUCCCUUACAUUUAUCCAAUACCAAGCCAAAUCCCUUGAAAAAUUUUGGAUGGGUCCACAAGAGCACAAAGUGCAUACUUUUUGAAGAAAAACAUCUUUCAGAUGUAUGAGAAAUUGAUUGGAGCCUGUCUGGAAAACGGCAGCCACUUGACCUUGUUUUUUUGUGACAUACCCAAGA